rnacentral:misc_RNA from 1 species
GGAAAAAGUCAGUUUUAUAAAUACAGCUGUUACAGACCAAUAAUUUGUGGUACCUUGUCAAUGCUAUUAAAACAUAAAUGAAUUCGCUCAAUACAAAUGCAGCAUGGAUUAUCCAAGCGUACACACACACUCAUGCACAAAUGAACAUGCAUGUCUUGAGAGACUUGCUAGUGAACAUAAAUAACAUGUAAUGAAGAAACAAUAUCAUGUUCGCCAACAAAUCUUUCUUUAUUUCUGUACAUAUUUUUCUGAGUGACACGGUAAAGUAAUCCUCAAUCAGGCUAUAUCUUGUUUAGGAGCAAUAGGAGCAGGAAUUAUACCCCAUUUUCUGCGGACAUCAUCUAAUUCCUCAUGAAAGUGCUUCUCAUAAUAUACACACAUGAGAUUUGUGCACUGCAUUCCAGCUCGGAUGGCCCAUGGGAAGUAGUUCUGAAAGAACAAUCUUCUUUGCUUCUCACUAAAUCUUGCUGUGCCCCCUACAACAGACAUUAGACACAUUGGAAGGUACAUUUGCUCAAACUCUAUCACAUUUACUGCUGACUCGCCAAUUAGGUUGGUAGGGAUGUCAAAUAGUGGGUGCCAGAAGUCAUGCACUUCAGGAGCUCUCAUGGCUACAUAUGCUAGCUCAUCUGUGUCCAUAAAUCGCACUGGAGGGCGAUCAUCUAGGGAAAAGUUCCUAGAUCCCAUGAAUCUUGCAUAGGCGGCACCAAAUGACUUUGUUGGCAUAUCCAAUGCAUGCCCCACUUGUGUAGAUAUGACACGUGGUCUCUCCAAGAGUACUGCUUGUUGGAAAGAUAAAUUUGUUGGUUUUGCUAAUUGCAACAUGAGUCCCAAAUGAUUUCCUUUCAUAGAUAUAUAAAAACAAAGCUUCACACAGAGGUUAAUGGGAAAAAUUGGAUCCUAGUUUUAUAGGCUUCUUUAUUCAAAAGUUCUCUCCUCUUCAACAUAAAAUCUUGAAGAACGUUUAAAUCCUUAGUUAAACAGACCAACAAAUUGAUAAACUCAUGUAUCUGAAGGCAAGUAUCUUUAUAAGAUGUCCAACUUUCUAGGCUUUACCAGUUGUUGAUUCCCUGAGAUUUCAAAUAAAAUCCCAUGAACUCUACCAUGAUGUUGAGCCCACGGUAAAUCAGAAAGCCCACAGGAUCUCACUUGUCCAAAUCACCUAUGGCAUUCUAUUCUUAUCAACCACAUAAGAAAAAAAAAAGCUCUAGAAAGGAUGAGCAAUUGACCAUAAAAAAUGGUAAAUUCUGCAACGGAAAAGGGAAGAACAUUGCUAUGCACCUGAAGCCCAACAAUAAGCUAGAGAGAGUAAAUUGAUGAAUUUCAUUUGAUGAUUUUGGAGCAAAGUCACUUUUUCAACACCUAGUUGCAAGGUUAUUUCAUUGGUAUUCCAUCACUUGAAGCUUAUUAACUAUAACUGUGGACAAUGUCAACAAAUGGAAAUAUUAAACUUCUACUACACUGCUGCUGUUCCACGGCCUACUACAUUUCUAAUUACCAUACCUAGAUAAGUUGAAUAUGUGUCAAUUCUUAUGUUGAAAACACAACAAAAAGUUCCAGAUAUGUUCUUAGUAAGAGACUCCCAUAAAUUAUUUCACAUGAAUCUCAAUUUUCCAAACAAUGACUGAAGUACUUAAUCAUGUAGGAAAUCCUAAAGUUAUUAGAACUACUUAUUUUCAGAAAAAAAUAUAGAAAGAGGUUUAUUUUAUUUAAUAAUUUUAUUUGAUUUGUAAUAUACACCUGGAGUUGGAAUUAGGGUUCUUAAUCCUAAUAUAAUUAAGGUUACAAAACUCGACAAAUAGGGCUUAGUUUCUUCACAUACUUAUGGGAUUUAUUAUGACUAUUGACUAUCGAUUUGAGCAAAUAUAUUGAGAAUUAGUUUCCCCCCAUUUUGAGAAUUUGUUCUCACCCUAAAUCCCCAUUGGUUCUACAUCAAUUUCCAUGGAGUUUCCAAAGUCUCUAUGGCUUGAUUGGUUUCAAUAGCUUCUUUUCCAAAGUCUCUAUGGCUUGAUUGGUUUCAAUAGCUUCUUGAUAGUCUAAAUAUGAUUGGCUUAGUUCUAAAUAUGAUUAAUUAUGGAUAUGUCAUCUAAGAACAUGAUGAACAGUCAAAUGCCAAAAGGCUGGAUAAGAUUUAAUUAUUUGCAUUAGUAGGCAUGAGAUUGAUAAAAACAACAAUCAUACAGAAAAACUCAAAUGGUUCGUUGUGCAUUCCCAUAUCACCAUUUCAUAUUUCAUGAAUCCAAAUAUAAAGAAUACCAUAAAGAAAAAGAAUUUUGGACAAAGAAACUCACUCUGCCUUCUGGGCUCCUCUUCAUCCUCUCAGGAACCCUUUCAAAAGCAAGCUUCCCAGUUGUUUCUCUAAGAGUUGCUAUCAAAUCUACUCUUCAUGGAUUUAGCAAUGCACCCACUGCUGAGCCAAGUGUAACUGCAGCCUGUUGCCACCCAUUCAGCCAGACACGUGCACCCUAUAUCAUUGCACAAACUGUUCUCUUUCGCUGCACAGACCAGUUGGAGAGAGA